AUGAAGCAGAAAAACAAUGUUAGUCUUUGGUGACCAGGGAAAAUAAAAAAAGUUCAUGAAGGUGGUCUCCAGAUGAUCUAGAGCCUCGUAGAAGCAAUCGGGUUGGUCUGCCUUUGCACUGACUGGAAGCAAAUCUUCGAUGCCAGCAGGUUUGGCAAGUGCAGAUUCCAGUUACUCAUCCAGUUGCUUCUGGACUUAUUAAGGGACUGCAAAAUACCCAGGUGAUUUUUGGGAACAUCUUAAUAUUGUGUACAUGGUGCAGAGCACAGCGUAGUCUGCAGAAAGCCCUCGGAGAGAAAUA